AUGGUAUUAGUAGUUACUAAAAGUAGUUUACUAAAGUAUGUCAAUAUUUCUUGUACUAAUUACGUUGUCAUAGCUCUAAACAGUUUCUCUUUUCCUUCUUUCCCUAAAUCAGACCAGACCCCUGUGCAGAAUAAAGCUGAAUGUGGCAGCGCUGGACAGGUGUUUAAUGGUUUUGUUCUGAGCAGGGAGACCCUGACUGUGCUGCUGGAUCUACUGGGAAGUGAACAGCAACAUGGAUGGUGUGCCAUGAUCCAGACCCUGGUGUUUCUAUUCUGUCUGCUAGUGGUACAUCAUACAGAUGGUCUCCAGAGUGUUUGACAUGUGCCUCGUUCCACUGUCACCACACUGUCCUCCGAGUCUCUGAGGAGGUGCUGGCCAGAACACACGGAGGCAGGGCCGGGCUCAAACUGAUGUGGUUUUUCUGAUGUUAAACCUAAGCUAUGUUGUAAAUAGUUGUAAAAAGUACUUUCUAUUAUGUAUAGAACAAUUUGUUUUAAUGUGUAAAAAAAGUAUUUACAGGACAAACAAAUAAACAUAUAAAAGAAUGUUUUGUGAAAAAAAUUAUAAGCUACAUUAAAAAAAAAUUAACAAUGUACAUAAGCACUUUUCUUUUAUUUACACAUGUGAAUAUGCAAAACAAUAAUACAAAAUGUACAGAAAGUACUCAGGCUUAUUUACGAAUAAAUUACACACAAAAAAUGAAUAAUGUAUACAAUUUAUGCAUUUCAUUUUUAACUUGAGUCACAAAAAUAAACUACAGAAAUUAGGUUUCAUUGACAAUAUGACAUUUAAAAAAUAUAUUGGAAAAACUGUAAUGUACUCAUUUUUUUCCCACUGUUUUCUCUUGGCUAAUGAAGAAUGUAUUUGUUUGAGUUUGAUGUCCUCCCUGUCCACUCGCUCCCACACCUGUCUCAGAAAACUUCACAAAUAAACCAUGCCAGUUAACAACAAAAACACAUGCUCACUUUCUCCAGAAUAGUAUUAAAACAAAAGAAAAUGGAAACACUUAUGAACAAAGACAAGUUUGCAAUCUUAACAUUAGAAAAUAUGACACAGCAGGACAUGCAUACAAAAUACUGAAGUUUGGUUAAAACAUUUGUAGACAUCUCUUGCAUGACAGCACUUCAAAAACACAACAAAGGGAAAGACCAUUGCCUUAUAUAGUGGUUGUCUUAUUGUUUGUGGGCUUUAUGUUAAAAAAAACCCCGGGCUUUAAACACUUUCGCUAGGUAUUUGAGUAAAUGAAAACAGAAUACUUACAUUUCAAUGUGAAGUCCUCCAGAGAACUCUCACCUGCCUCUGAAUAUAAACACCUUCGUCAUAUGCACGCAAGUGAUUCUGGGAUAUGGCAGGGUGUGAAGUGUCCAUUAGAUGUAAACUUCAUUUUCAUGGGAAACGAAGGGCGCAUUUGAUGUCGCUUUUGAAACUCGUCAGCCUUCGUCGCGCCGCGGUGACGCAUUCGCAAUUCAAAUGCGGUCUUCGAAGUGGCAUUCUGACUUUGGGACAGCUUACGUCGUGACGCUGUGAUGCAAUCGCACUUCACAUCCGCACUUCGGAGUCCACACACUUCAGUUUGGGACACCCUUCGUCGUGCCACUGUGACGCAUUCGCACUUCAAAUGCGCACUUCGGAGUCCAUGCACUUAAGUUUGGGACACAGCUAGUGUGUGGGUUCCCGUUAAGCACACUGACUUUGCAUGACAGGUACCCAAUUUCCAUGUUGGAAGGUAAUCAGCUAAUAAUAAGGUGAGUGCUAAAGGAGAGUGCUAAAGCCUUUGACGUGUUGGCAGUAGCCAUGAGAGACAGCAAUCAGCAAAGCAACAUUAGCCAGGACCACAACCAUUGCAACCUCUAUAAAAAGCUUACGGAGAGGAAAGCUACUCAACCAGACAAUAAGCCAGUAGAAUGACUGGUAAGAAGAAUGUUAACUCACCUCACAGUCAGUCCGAUAGAUGGAGGACAGAAGGGUGAAGGGGCUUGCAGCAGGCCAACAACCAAGAGUUCUUAAUGGCAACAGGAAAAAUAUGCAAAGUGAAGCGGAAAAAAAAAGUAUAGUCCAGUUUGCCAAAGUCCAUCAAGCUGCGAGGAGAAAGUGAGUCCAGUUUGUAGAUGAGGCAGAAUAGGAUCUGAAGAAAAAAAAAAAGAAAAGAAAAAAAAAACAAAACACUGGGGUUCUAUGGAGACAGAUGAGUCUCAAAUAUAAUUCACGCAAAAAACACGAAUCCAACAUGCGUAAACAAUUUCACAUGCAUGAAACCUAAUUCACGUACACACAAAAAAAAUUCACGUGCGUGAAAAAAAAAUAUAUAUUUACAAAAAGCAAUUCACAUGCGCAAAAUAAAAUUAUAUAUUCAUAAAAUACAUUUCACAAAUGCAAAACACAAUUCGUAGAUAUACAACUGUGCACAAAAACCUUUGAAUGUUUAAAAUGUACGAGUGUCUGAAUGUACAAAUCGUAAUUUACUACGAAUCCACUCGGAUUUGUGUGUGUGUGUUUUUGAGACUUUCCUGGCAGAGCUCUCUUCCCACGUGGGUCUGUCGUACCCUUUAGCCAAUCAGAUGCGAGCUUACCAUUCAACCAAUCAUAUCAUAAGCCACCGAGAGACUUAUCUGUCUCCAUAGGGUUCUUUCCAGAUCAAAGAGCAGAUCAAAAAAAAAAAAAAAAUGACCACAGACAAACAAACAACACAGCGUGGAGUGGCAGCCAGAUUAUUAUUAUUGUGGAAUGUCAUAUACUUGUCAAGGGCAACCUUUGGGCUUCUUUGCCAAUUUGACUGGAGAUUGAAUGCCAACCAGAAUGAUUUAUUUGGAAAACUGACUGUAAAUGUUUUGAGUAUUUAUCUUCUUCAUUCAUUCUGCCAGAUGUAAGCUGUGGUCUUAGAUACUCUUGGUGUCUUGAUUUAUAGUGCUGUUUUUGUAGUACCUUUAUCACAUUAAAUUUGGAAUAUGUUGUGCACUACUUUUC
rnacentral:lncRNA from 12 species